ensembl:misc_RNA Metazoa_SRP Metazoan signal recognition particle RNA
GCCGGGCGUGGUGGCGCGCGCCUGUAGUCCCAGCUACUCGGGAGGCUGAGGCAGGAGGAUCGCUUGAGCCCAGGAGUUCUGGGCUGUAGUGCGCUAUGCCGAUCGGGUGUCCGCACUAAGUUCGGCAUCAAUAUGGUGACCUCCCGGGAGCGGGGGACCACCAGGUUGCCUAAGGAGGGGUGAACCGGCCCAGGUCGGAAACGGAGCAGGUCAAAACUCCCGUGCUGAUCAGUAGUGGGAUCGCGCCUGUGAAUAGCCACUGCACUCCAGCCUGGGCAACAUAGCGAGACCCCGUCUCUU